rnacentral:tRNA from 1 species
GACCACGUAGCUCAGUUGGCAGAGCAUUGGGCUAGUAUUCCAAAGGUCCUAGGUUCGAUUCCCUCCGUGGUCA